rnacentral:tRNA from 1 species
AGAGAUGUAGCUCAGUGGUAGAGCACUUGCCUGGUAUGCACGAGUCCCUGGGUUCUAUCCCCAGCACUGCUU